GUUGCCUAAAAUUUUCAAUCAUGUGAUCAUACUCUGCAAGUUCUGACGCAGUGUAAAUACAGUACAUGCACGUUUCUGUGGACCGGUUUUCUCAACAUGGCACAAACAAAUUGCGCGUUUGAAAUGGAUGUAAAAACGUCCUCAGAUCCUAACGGUAAGUAAUAAGUAUAGACAAUAUAGCUGCUUUGAAAAAUUCUUAAAUACAUGCGCUUUUGCGCAUUGCUUGUUGUCGCCUUGUUUAAAAACACUAUUAAUUAAACGGUACAAUUUUAACAGCAUUGAAUAUUGAGUUCAGCUAUGAGAGUUAUACAUUGACAUGAACAUUGUAGACUUAGUUAUACGGGUUGUCUUGUAAAACAGAAAGUAAACAGCCACAACCUAAUAACCUAUACUAAGCUAUGUUCGCGUUUUGCAGACAUGUUUUUUUACUAUAAAUACUGAAUAAUAUAGCUUUCUAGUAGGCAACUAGCCCUUUUGUAUUAUAUAUUAGGGGGAAAAUGUAGGUGAUUGAAUUGGUGAACAUAAUAAAUAAAUUCUUAUAUAGCUAGGGCGAACACGGCCAAACGUGAUUGGCUGAUUUGUGGUCACGUGACUUCAGAUAAAUACAAUGCAUCCCGCCGGGCAACAAGUGAAAAAUUGUUGCCCGCCCCGACCGGCUACGCACAUAAAUCACAAUUAGCAUAAUUAGAAACUACGAUUUUCCAAGUUUGUGUUCAAAUAAAGAAUGUAAAAGAGAAGAAAAAUACACGGAUGUCAUGAAUGAUGACAGCUUUUUGAAUUUCUGUUCCAAUCUCUCAAUCGUACAUCAUAUAAUGUACAUCUUGACCUUGACAGCGAGAAUAAUCAGUAAGGAUUCAUUUGAUGUCUCACUUUGAUACACAGCAGUUCGACAUUAGAUUACCUAAUUAAAGUCCUAAACAGAUAAAGCUUAAAGUCACUCAUACGUUUAUUCUUUUAUUUUUAGUUCCAGUUCCAAAAGUAACACUGUAGAGUAGUAACUGCGUACUUUGAAUUACUGGUUAGGAC